UUAAGGGGUGUCCGAGGUUUCGGGCUGAGAUUAUACCCUCAUACUUGAUCCGGGUAAUGCCGGCGAAAGGAUUGCAA
rnacentral:ncRNA from 1 species